ensembl:lncRNA
CGUAGAGUGCAGGAACCAGAAUGAACGUGGGAACGUGACGUGUUAACCCUGACGGAGAAGAAACGGCGUAGUCGUUCACGGCACCAUCCCUUUAAACGCAUCCACUUCACGAACCUACGCAGCGCUCAGACGGAUAAAAGCGCCGGGGCGGGAUGAGAGCGGGAAACCCGCGGAGCUCGGCGAACAGGCUUUUCCUGUCGGUCCUGUGCGCCGGAACAGAUGUGCGACAGUGAAAACAAACCCGUAAAGCUUUUAUUCAUUAUUUAUCUUUAGUUUAUCGCGGUAACUGUCUGACUUUUAACGAUUUCGUAAACAUAUAACCUGCUUAAUAAUAAUAAGAUUCCAGAUUCUAUGAAUAUGCUAAUUUAAAAAUUGUUUUUUUUUUUUUUAAAAACUCCCAAUCUUUACAUGCCCCGCCCUCGUUUCCUGGUUAACUUCCGGGUGUUUUAUUUAUAUGGCUUACAUUUGCAUACUGACCCCUGAUUGGCUGUUUCCUUUUAUGAUGCAGUAACCCGUUCCUGUUUCUUCGUUCUAAGUUCGAACGCUAGCCGGGUUCCUCGGACCGUACCACUCCACGGAGACCGCGCUUCCUACACAAGAUCAUACGCCAAGCCGUACGCAAACUUUUGUGCGCUCAGAAUGAAGCGGGUUUGAUGCGUUCACUCGUGACCGUCUCGUAGCGAUCUAAAACAGAAUUUCCAGAGCCUCAGCUGCCCUCGCUUUAACAGCGACGACUGGUGUCAAUCAAACCAGACCCCGCCCCCUUUCGGCAGCCCCGUUCACCAGAGCGAGAAAGCGUAUCCGUUCGGCCCUAAAGAAGACGACCCGGCGGUCAUCGACGAAUCGGACGGCGACUGGACCGGCGGGAAGGAGCGAGAGCCUCCGUGGGCGGAGCUGUGCGGGUUGAGGAGGGACGUGCUGGGCGGAGAACUCGACAUCGAGCAGAUCGAGAGAAACUGAGACUCGGAGAACGUCUUCACGUCCCCGGUUCUCGUGUUCCUCCACGUCCUGUAGCGAGUCGUGCUUUCCGGAAUGGGACUCAGGAGAAAUGGACGCUCACGAAUUUGUGGGACGUUAGGAUGACUCAGGUUGUAUCUCGGAAUAAAAAAAAAAAAAAAAGCAGAGUGGAUUGUGGGAUAUCGGGGGUUCUGCGCGCGCUCUGUUGCAGAUAUUGUAGCUUCUUCUUCUUCUUCUUCUUCUGUAAAGGAACGAAACGAUGGCGUACGUUCUCAGAGUCCGACCUGCCUGUCUGUCUGUGCUGAAUGACGAGUGAACGGAGCCAAAAUAUAAAUCUAUAUUUUAAGGAUGUAUUAGUUUUUGUUUGUUUGUUUGUUUGUUUGUUUUUCUGCUCCGUUCAUCUGAAAAAACACGGCAUCACGAAGAAGGACGGAAAGGAAAACGAGAAGGUUCUGAGAGACGACUGCCGUGAAACCGAGGACUUACUGUUGAACUUGCACUGGCAUUGAACACGCACACACCUCACACACACACACACACACACACACACACACACACACACAGUGAAAAGCUUGGAAAGGGUUUCAGGUUUUAAUAACGUCGGGCGAUAAUUUCAAGCUAAUAAGAGUUUAAUUCCUCUUUUUACGAAGUAUAACGUAAAAUGUACUUAUUUCUAUACGAAUAAACAUUUAAAGUGUGUUUGUAAACUGGC